UAGCGACUGUGAAGUUUGGCUCAUGGUGGCUUUGGGAGAUAACAGGUAAAGAGGGUGUAUAAAUCUUACAUCAAAGUGUAAAGUCUAAUUAUUA